GACAGAUACCUCAUAACAUGGAUAAUUGGGCCGACGGGUCGGCACUUUUGACUGAACUUUACCAUUUGCGUUUUUAUUUGUUCUUUUAACGUUGCGACAGUUGGAAACGCCGUCUGUGGCUCGUUGCUUAGCAACGACGGUUUACUAUUCGGCUUAACCGACUGCAGUCGGUCUCGAUUUGGGUGCAACAUGAGCCAGAUGAAAAAUAAGAUUUUAAAUGUUCUCAAUAAGCAUUCAAAAGAAACACUAAAUAGCUGUUCCUCAGUGAACAGCUUGGCUGCAGACUGCAAAUGUUGUAAACAUCACAAUAAUACCCACAAACCGCACAAAAUGAAACGAUGGAGGAGCCGCAAGGAGAGGACUCAGAUGAGGGCUGGUGGAAGAGAGGCCCCAAAAGCUAAAUCGCAUCACCAUCACCAAAACAUCAAGAACUUUUCACAUUUUCACAACUGUUGUCACAGUAGCUGUUAUUGCACUCCAAGGAAAGGGGAGCCAUAUCCAAACAGAAUUCCUGCACCACAGGAGCCUAGCAUCAUCACAGACAACCGCCUCAUCGGCCACCAUGGGCUGUUCAACCAUGAGGUGAAGUCUGUUGACAUCGAACGCUUGUAGGGAUUGGUCAGGUAGAGAUACUAAUGAGGCUGUGCAGUGUGCAAGGAUGGCAGACCCUGCUGCAAAUGCCCCAGAGUGCAGGGAAAAAGAGAAGACUCUCAGCCAAGAGUCAGAUAUUACACCAGGCCAGCGACUGCAAAAACCUGAUCCAUCAUCUGGAAGCUAUAAAAGCAUUUUGUCAUCUAACCACAGCUCCCUUGAUGUAGUUGCAUUCAAGAACAAGAAGUACAAUUCUGUGAUGUCUGACAGGUGCACGGAGUCCCCGUUGUCUCCCACCGGUGACAGAGACCAUGUCAAGAAGUUAAAAAAGAAGUUAAAGACACACUUGAUUUCUACUCCUGAUCACACUCCAAAAGAAGAGAAGCCUCCUGUCCUGCCGACACAAGCCCCUGGUCUGCGCCCAAGCCCACUUCAGUGUUCCAGCUCACCCACUACUCAGAGCUUCAACAUAACACACAUAAGUCAGGAUUUCCGCUGUGUAUCAAAGUCCGUCAGUGAAGUUGCAGCGCGUUUGUGCGACUUUCUGCACUUCCCCGUUCUGAGAAAGGGAAACCUAGUGGCAGAAAGCAGGGAGGAGGUGUUGAGAGCACUGCGGGAGAAGCAUGGAGCACACCUUCGGGAGAACCUUCUCAAGGUGAAGCGUUCCCUCGGGGGUGGUGCUGAUCUCACAAGGGCUAUGGCAGAUGAAGAUGCGCUCUUCCCUUCAGAUGCCCCUGAACACCAAUCUGACAAUGCCGUUCAGUUUUGUUUUGAUAUCCAAAGAACCCACAGAAAGACUCCUGAAUGGUUGACAGAGCCCAUGGAUACUUCUACCAGUCUUCUGGACGGUGUCCUCAGACCUAGUUUCUCUCCCACACUCUACAUGAACUGUGAGCCCCCUGAGGUCUCAGCAAAUAAUCAUUCGUUCUCUAAUUCUGCCGACUCAUGUUGGGCAGAGUUCUCAUCAUCUCAACACUGGGGGGAAAGUUUCAGCAGGUCGACGAGCAAAGAGUCAUUUUUGUGUGAUUCUUUUGAAAAUAGCUACUUGAACCACAGCAGUGCAUCUACAGGGAGCUUCAGGCCACAGUAUGGUGGCAACAACAUUCAGCCCUUCUUUACUCACACAGCCCAGCUGACAGACCGACGUGCAGCAGAGCCAGGGCCCUUUUUAACUGACAGGUACUCAAAUUAUCAGUCUUUUUGCGCCCAAAAUCGCCAUCCCACCCAGAGCAACAACUUUCAUACAUUCAGCCAAUUCACCCAGCCCUCAAGUUGCCCAUCACUUAGGCCCCACUACACUGACAUGAUACAUUAUCCCCCAUCUCACAUGCUUGAAAUAGAGGCAGCACCUCCCUUGUCCUCUUUACCGAGCCCUGAACCCUGGUCCUUCCCUCCAAUGAGACUGUACUGAUGUUUGGUGAAUGUCACUAAUAAAUGUAGUAGCACAAGUGUUACCUCUUCUAUU
ensembl:lncRNA uncharacterized LOC114842878